UUCAAUAAAGAAACUAAAGGAAGAUUAGCAGCUGGUGUUUUCACGACAUCGAAAGAAGCGCGGCAAUUGGGCCCCGAAAAGCGCUGAACUUUUAGUUUCAUUUGUGAGGGAGAUAGCGAGACAGUACUUGAGAAACAUUUCCUGGCAUCAUUUGCUUCUGAUUUAACUGGUUGACGUGAAGUGAACAUUCCGAAUUUAGAUCUGCCACAACAUGCCAUUUGAAGACCUUAUA